rnacentral:rRNA from 1 species
UACGAAGGGGGCUAGCGUUGUUCGGAAUCACUGGGCGUAAAGGGUGCGUAGGCGGGUUAUUAAGUCAGAGGUGAAAUCCUGGAGCUCAACUCCAGAACUGCCUUUGAUACUGAUAGUCUUGAGUAUGGGAGAGGUGAGUGGAACUGCGAGUGUAGAGGUGAAAUUCGUAGAUAUUCGCAAGAACACCAGUGGCGAAGGCGGCUCACUGGCCCAUUACUGACGCUGAGGCAUGAAAGCGUGGGGAGCAAACAGG